GAAGUGUUAGUCUAAAAAGAUUGCUGAUUUCGACUCAGCAGAUUAUGAUUUAACCUCAUAACACUUCU
rnacentral:tRNA from 1 species